UGGAUCCAGACUUUGAUUAUGGCUCAGGAUGAACGCUAGCUACAGGCUUAACACAUGCAAGUCGAGGGGAAACGACAUCGAAAGCUUGCUUUUGAUGGGCGUCGACCGGCGCACGGGUGAGUAACGCGUAUCCAACCUGCCCACCACUUGGGGAUAACCUUGCGAAAGUAAGACUAAUACCCAAUGAUAUCUCUAGAAGACAUCUGAAAGGGAUUAAAGAUUUAUCGGUGAUGGAUGGGGAUGCGUCUGAUUAGCUUGUUGGCGGGGUAACGGCCCACCAAGGCGACGAUCAGUAGGGGUUCUGAGAGGAAGGUCCCCCACAUUGGAACUGAGACACGGUCCAAACUCCUACGGGAGGCAGCAGUGAGGAAUAUUGGUCAAUGGGCGAGAGCCUGAACCAGCCAAGUAGCGUGCAGGAUGACGGCCCUAUGGGUUGUAAACUGCUUUUAUAAGGGAAUAAAGUGAGAGUCGUGACUCUUUUUGCAUGUACCUUAUGAAUAAGGACCGGCUAAUUCCGUGCCAGCAGCCGCGGUAAUACGGAAGGUCCGGGCGUUAUCCGGAUUUAUUGGGUUUAAAGGGAGCGUAGGCCGGAGAUUAAGCGUGUUGUGAAAUGUAGAUGCUCAACAUCUGCACUGCAGCGCGAACUGGUUUCCUUGAGUACGCACAAAGUGGGCGGAAUUCGUGGUGUAGCGGUGAAAUGCUUAGAUAUCGCGAAGAACUCCGAUUGCGAAGGCAGCUCACUGGAGCGCAACUGACACUGAAGCUCGAAAGUGCGGGUAUCGAACAGGAUUAGAUACCCUGGUAGUCCGCACGGUAAACGAUGGAUGCCCGCUGUUGGUCUGAAUAGGUCAGCGGCCAAGCGAAAGCAUUAAGCAUCCCACCUGGGGAGUACGCCGGCAACGGUGCAACUCAAAGGAAUUGACGGA
rnacentral:rRNA from 1 species